AACUAAAAAGAAAGGUAAAAAUAAAGAAAAGUAAAACUAAUCCUCGUAUGCGUCCCUGUUUCUAUCUAUCAUCCGAGUGUCAUAGUUGAUCAUGGAAUUCGAGACACCAUGAUGCACAAAAAGGCUGAAAUCAGAGAAAUCUAUCCAGUAUGACCUCUCUGCUCUGGACUCCUGAAGGGACUUUGGUCAUGCUAUAGGGUAGGCUGAGAGAAAU
rnacentral:lncRNA from 1 species